AUUGAACGCUGGCGGCAUGCUUUACACAUGCAAGUCGAACGGUAACAGGGUGCUUGCACCGCUGACGAGUGGCGAACGGGUGAGUAAUGCGUCGGAACGUGCCGAGUAGUGGGGGAUAACGCAUCGAAAGGUGUGCUAAUACCGCAUACGUACUGGGGUAGAAAGUGGGGGACCUUCGGGCCUCACGCUAUUCGAGCGGCCGACGGCUGAUUAGCUAGUUGGUGAGGUAAAGGUUCACCAAGGCGACGAUCAGUAGCGGGUCUGAGAGGAUGAUCCGCCACACUGGGACUGAGAUACGGCCCAGACUCCUACGGGAGGCAGCAGUGGGGAAUUUUGGACAAUGGGCGCAAGCCUGAUCCAGCCAUGCCGCGUGUCUGAAGAAGGUCUUCGGAUUGUAAAGCACUUUAAGUUGGGAGGAAGGGCAGUAAGUUAAUACCUUGCUGUUUUGACGUUACCGACAGAAUAAGCACCGGCUAACUUCGUGCCAGCAGCCGCCGUAACAC
rnacentral:rRNA from 1 species